UCAUUGUUAUAGGUCUUAAUCCACUACAUCUGUACCACUGACCAUACAGUUGUACACAGUUCUUCAUUUUUAUUUAAGGGAUUCAGAUGGUGUACCUCUAGGUGUAUCAUAAACCCCUGAGGAUGAAGCAGUGUCUUAUGGUCUCCUGUCUAUGUCUCUAGUGCAAGCUGGGGCAUCUAGAAGGGUCUGGUCACUAGUUGUCGACUGAGUGGAUGUGAAUGCGGAGCAGUCAUUCUUCCUUCAAGGGCUCUUUCCUUUGCCCAUGUUCUGGACAAGAGCUGUGGUACAUACCAACACCAGCUCACUGGCACCACACCAGCUAGGGAUCCUACAGUUCAAUUCUACUGACAUUACCUGGAGCCAGUGCAGACCUCACAUGUUAAAGGGUGAGCUCCCAGCAAGACUGUCUCCUCCUCAGAUGCUAGCUGCGAGUGGGGUCCUCAGAAUACUUGUACUGCCCCCUACCAAUGUGGCUACAAAUUCAGGGGUUUCCAUGAUCCCCCGUUUAGGUUCAAUAACCUGCUAGAAUAACUCACAGAACUCAUGAAAAUACCAUACUUACAAUCACCAUCUUAUUAUAAAGGAUACAGAUGAACAGGCAGCUGAAGAGAUACACAGAAGGGCUGAAAGAGUCCCGAGUGCAGAAGCGCCCCCUUCCCCAUGGAGUUAGGAUGCAUCAUCUUCACAAUGCACUGCUAUGUUCACCAACCAGGAAGCUUUCCAAGCUUUAUUGUCCACAGAAAUUUAUUGGGGUUUCAUUACAAAGGCAUGAUUAAUUAAAUCAUUGGCCAUGAGCUUGAACUCAAUCUCCAGCCCUCUCUCCUCUUGGGAGGUUAGGGGGGAUGGGGCUGAAAGUUUCAAUCCUCUCAUCACAUGCCUGGCAUUGCUGGCAUGACCAAUCUCUCCUUUGAAACGCUGCCCAAAACUCGUUAGCAUAAACUCAGGGAUGGUUGGAAGGGGCUCCCUAUGAAUGCAAAAGACUCUCCUAUCGGGAAAUUCCAAGUGGUUCUAAAGCUCUGUGCCAGGAGCUGGGGACAAAUGACUAGAUACAUUAUUAUAUGACAGUUGGUAUAGUGGUAUAUGGGGUAGCAUUAAAACUAUAAGUGGAUAUUUGAGGUUAAAAUGCUUAGACAUUCAAGUAUCUGUGAAACUAAAACCAGAGCAUAAAGUCUUGAGAUUUGGCAAGAAGACACUCAUGGUUGGGGGCAGGGGGAUCGGUAGACUCAGAAGGAAAGACAAUAGGUUAUUAUGUAUGUAAGGUGACAGUUAUAAUCCAAGCCUUUGGAGAGUUUAAAGGGCUAAGAAGACUGUUGGCUUGCCACUGGCUGGGAGACUUUCAACUCAGCAGGUGCAGACAGGGUUUUGUGUGCAGAGGGAAACAGACAGGAGGCAGGCAAGGUGGAGGAGCAUAAGAGCAAGAUCAUGGAAUUAUAAGAACCAAGGAGCAGGUAAAGGGCAUCCCUUUGGGAAUACGGAGAGCUCCCUCUGCUAAGGCUUGAAGGAAAAGGAAGGAGCUAAUUGGAAAACACACAGUAGUUGACAGCAAUAUGGUGCCCAAGAAGCUGGAUGAAAGCAGAUAUUUUUGGUAAGGUGGGUCACUUGCAGGGUGAGUGUUCAGCAGGGUGACACGAGAAAGUACGUGAUGGUCUUGACUUCAAGAGGGGUCGAAGAAGCGAGGGAAGGAGUAGUGGAGAUUGUCAAGGGAAGAGUGGAACUGGUGGUGCUUCUUAUACAGCGAAUUGAUUCUUUAAAAAGCAGCUGCCAGAUGACCUCUAGAAGUCUCUUCUAACAUGAUCAUUCCAGGAUUCUAUGACUGUUGAGUGAGAACAUCUCAUUGACAAUAGGAUACAUCCCAAUUCCACAACUUCCUGGUGUCUGCACUGUCUAGAGAGAAAGAAAUAGAUGUGCGAGAAUAAUAACUGCCUAAGCAGUUUAAAACACUGGUUAAAAGAGCCAGAAAAAAAAAGAAAGAAGUGUAUCUGAGAGGGUUAGUGUUACCAGAGACAAUUUUUGGGAUACUGGUUAUAGUGCAGAUCUUGACAACUAAAGCCAACUCCAGAGUUGAGUGGUUCUUCUAAAGCUGGGUUCUCACUUGGGGGCAAUUUUGCUCUCCAUGGGACAAGAGGCAAUGUCUUGAGACAUUUUUAAUCGUCACAACUGGGUGGCAUCUAGAGGUUAGAUUUGGGAUGCUGUUCAACACCCUACAAUGUACAGGUUAGCAUCCCCCCCUCCCCGCCCCAACAGAAUUAUCUGGUCCAAAUGUCAGUAGUUGCUGAGGCUGAGAAAACCUGCUUUGAAAGAACCCCGAGAAAGAGUCUGGUGGCAGGUGUCUUGGUAGGAGGUGGAGCUUUGGACAGGUGUGACGGACACUCUUGGUCAGCUGACCCAACCUCUAUUCGCAAUGAAGGACCACCCCCCUCCCCAGUUUUUGGAGUCACUGUUAUGGGGAGCCACAUGACCAUUCUAGGCAAUGAAAUGCAAGAGAAUUUGCUGGAUGAGGCUUCUAAUAAGAUACCCCGGGUAAGUAUCAUCCCCUUUGCUGUUCUUCCUGCCUGGACCGAAGCCUGCCACCUGGAAGUGCAGAACCAACAAAACUAAAAUCAACAAAUGAAGAAGGUGGAGCCAGAAAGAGCUAGUGAUGCCCCAGGGGACAUUUGGCAAUGUCUGCAGGCAUUUUUGGUGGUCCCAAUGGUGGAUACUCUAGUGGAUAGACACAAGGGAUGCUGCUCAGCAUCCUAUACUGCCCAGGACAGCCCUCGGCCCAAAGAGCUCUCCAACCCCUAGAUGCCAAGUGUGCCACAGUGGAAAAAUCCUGCUUGUAGAGAAAGCACAGUGGAGCUGUUGCCUGAGUCCUAGAUCACCUGCCUUAGGAUUUCUUGCAAUGGGAAUUUAAAAAAAAAAAAACAAAAAAACACCUGUUUUGUUUUAUUCUCAACUCCUGAGUUGGGCUGUUAUUUGAGACUGAAUGAAUUCCAAGUUGCUACAGCAGGAGAAGCUCUUGAUUUUAGCUUGUCACAGGGUAAUCUCCAGGGGAAACUUUCUUUAGAUUAUUCUUACUGGCACUUUCCAGGAUUGCACGGGAUAUCCAGUUCCAUCUUUGAAACAGAAGGAGGACAACCAUUCGGUAGCGUCUUUUGCUAGGAGAUGCCAACACCAUCGGUCCCCUCCACCCACGUCACCAGUAGGUUCAGCUGGAUCCAAGAUCACGGGCCUAAAGGAGUCAGAAGCAUUACAUGCUUUUUAAAACCAGUGGCCUCAGAAUCGGGGGCCCAGUCUACUCUUAGCCCUAAGACAAUGUGUCCUAUGUUUUAGAUGCCGGUGAUUCAAAUGUACUGAUACAGCUCAAAGUGAUUUUCUCGAAUUCAAUUAUAUUUGUCAAUAGUAUUUCGAAAGCUGUUAAUUAUCAUACACAGGACAGCAUAAUAUAAAGCUCUCCUUCCUGUUAGGUCAGCUGAACGAUGCUGCAGAAUUUAAUCAACUGUAAGGUCACGUGGGUCACGCCCAUGGUAGCCAGCCCAUGGUAGCUUGUUCUGGCUUUCUUCUCCCCUAUUCUUUCUCAAAUCUUUUUUUCUUUCCUCUCUUUCCUUUUGUUUCCUUUGGUUUUUGUGCUUUGCCGGGAGCACUGAAUAGACAUAGUAAGAUUCCCUGCUGUUCUUGAAGGAUAGCAUUUUUGUGGGUGCGGGAUGCAGGUCUGAAAGGGUAGAUAAAAUCUGAUCUAAUAAAACUCCCAUAGGAUGAAUUAACCUUGAAGGAAUGGUAGCAUUAUUUCUCAGGGACAUACUUCUGACCCCUACACCUCUAAGAUCUGCUAACCAAUCUAUGCUUUUCCCUCCAACCUAGGAAGAUGGAAGCGACCACCCAGGGACCUGUACCUUGAUCCUUCCUUCUCUCUUCCUCCUGGAUUACAUUCUCUCCCACCCUACCCCGGCUCAGGAUUUCCUCUUCAGAGACUAUGGGAGGUUCUGGUGGUUGGCACCCUUCCACCCUUACCCACUGCCCUCCUCAGUUUCACGUGGGGAGUAAAGAAUCACGACCCCAUAGGGGAGAACCCAGGUCAUUGGAAUAGCGCUGGAGGGAAUCAGGUUAAGAAAAGGAGGCAGGGGGCGCCUCGGUGGCUCAGGUAGCUUCCUUCAGCUCAGGUCAUGAUCUCAGGGUCCUGGAAUCAAGUCCCACAUCGGGCUCCCUACUUAGCAAGGAGUCUGCUUCUCCUUCCCCUCCACCUCUCUCAAAUAAUUAAAUAAAAUCUUUAAAAAAAAAAAAAGGAGAGGGCAGGGUUUAGGGCACCUGGUUUUCUGGAUCUGGGUCAGUAGGAAGUUCCUCACAGUCUCAUCCUCAAAGUUGUAAUUGACUGUCCAGAAGACACAGAGCUGCUGAUAUUUUGUGACCAACUCAAGGACCGUCCGGAAACCUUCUGCAGUGUCGAAAUUCUCUGCCCCACUCCCCUGCUCCCAGGCGUAGAUGGUGAGCAGCUCCAAGGCGUACUUUGGGGGCAGAGACCCCUUUUUCUUCAGUUUCCUUUCACACUGAGGGAAGAAGGGAACGUCAGACAAUACUAGUGAAAGCAGGGAGGUGCAGUGAGAUUAAAGAGCCCUGCAGAGGCCAUACAUUCAUGGCCUCUGGGGCCACAGCAGGGCAACUGAGUCACGGGACACAGUGCUGAUGGGACUGGUCUGUGGGAAGUCUGAGCAGGGCAGCCUGGCAGGUGCUCGCUUAGCAGCAUGCAGAUUUCUGGGUCGGGCUUCGGCCACAUAUGAUUCCCUAGAGUUAUAAUAUAAUACAGUGACCACUUACAAAACACCUACUGUGUGUUGACUGUGGAGACAGACAUUUUACGUGGCAUUUAUAAUCCUAAUUCUUAACCCCAGCAAGCAGGCAUAAAUCAACGUUUCUGACGAAGACAGGAGCCGUGGGGUGGGGAAGUGACUCGCUCAAGGUCACACUGUAGCCCCAAGCCCUCUGAGCACCCUGGGGCUGGGGGGUACCUACGGCCAUCUCUCUGAGUUUCUGGGAUGGAAACCACAGAGCUCAAGGAGCUGUACCCAAGAAGGAGACAUCUCAGCAAAGAGCUGAUGCUGUGCUAGACGUCGGCCGUCAUGGAAAUACUCAGAAGCUCCCCUGCAUGCAAGAAAGUGAUGGAAGCGAAGGGAGGCUAACCAUUAUAGAAAAUGACCCUGCCUGUAGCUUCACCUUGUCUUCAAGGAUGGCACCUGCAUGUACUACAUGUGGGGGCCGAGCAAGAGGUAUUGUGAGCGAUAUCACAGGAAGAUAAGAAUAUAAGGAAUAUAAGGAAUGUGGUCCUGGCCAUCCUCUGGAUACUUAGGAAGAGGAGGGAGACACAGACAUGCAAGGAAGGCAUUGCGAAGACACAGCACAGGAGUCCAUGUGGCAACAGAGGCAGAGAUGAGGGAGGGACGUGGCCACAAGCCAAGAGCACCAGCAAGCACCAGAAGCAAGGAAGGAUUCUUCCUGGAGCCUCCAGAGGAGCACAGGCUUGCCUACACUUUGACCUUGGACUUCUGUCAGCCACCAGUGUAUGACACUUUGUCACAGCAACCCUAGGAAAUCUACACAUGGUGCUCUUGGGUAAGACUGCAGUCUGGGUGUCAGGACACCCCCCUCCCCCCAGCAUGACAUGAGCUGUACUUGUAAAGCUCUCUUACCAGAACAUUCCAUGAUGGUCCAGGUGACUCAUUCGGGCUGAGAGCAGACAACCAGCUCUGAGCUUCUUGCUUUAGCAGUUGCCAAGAUGCGUUAUCUUUGCUCACAUUAUUGGUUGGGUCAGUUGGAUCCAAGAUUACUGGCCUGCAAAUUCCAUUAGAUUAAAAAAUCAGUAGAGCUGCAUGUGGAAGAAGAAAUCCAUGUUGGGGAAAGAGGACUGGAGGAGGAGGGUGUCUGGUAAUCUGGACUCGAGAGCCCGCGCUUCCUUUCGGUUGCUCAGGUGCUUUGUCUGAGAUGUCUAGACCCUCUGCUCCUGCCCUCUCUGCUUUGUCUGAGAUGUCUAGACCCUCUGCUCCUGCCCUCUCUGCUUUGCAGUUAUGUUAAUAACAUAAUAAAAUGGCUAGCCCCUUCCUUCUACAAGAGGAAGCACCUGGCCAGUGUUUUGGGGACAAAAUAUGGUGAUGGUCUGAAAUGUGAAAAGCAUUGGUCAGGCUCUCCUCUUUCAGACACACCCCAUUUUGCUUGCCUCGCCACCGCUGCUGGCAUUUUUUUGGUGCAUCCCUGGCUGGGGAGGAUGGGACUGAGCCCUCAUUCUAAGGGGUACAGCCUGGCUUGCAGACAAACAGAUAAAGAGAGAGGGUGGAGAGAAGCUUGGUACCUCGACGACCGGAGCUGGCUCAGCAGAAUAUUCCGGACAGUCUCAUUCUCAAAGUUGUAGUUGACUAUCCAAUAGACACACAGCUGCUCCUGCUGUCUGAUUAGCCCCAGGACAGUUCUGAUGCCUUCGGCUAUGUCAAAGUUUUCUGCUCCGCACCCCUGUUCCCAGGCAUAGACUGUCAGGAGCUCUAGGGCAUACAUGGUCAGCAGAGGUGAACCUUUCAGCUUUUCCUGGCACUGUGGGAGAAGAGACAGGCUGUGGCUGAUCUGGGGACCUUCCCCCUGUGCCAGGGGCCUGAAAUCAAGGAAUCAGAAGUCUAUAGGAAGUCACCAUCUCCCACCAGUGACUAAAAUGAAGCCAUGCCUAAAAUUCGAUGGAUUUUAGUAUCAAGUGUUGGCAAGGAUGUGGAGCACCUGAAACUGUCUUAUGUUGCUGAUGGGAGGGUCAUUAGGUACAACUAUUUGAGAAAACUAAUGUUGGCAGUACUUCCUAAAGUUAAAUAUAUGUAUUAUUAUAUAUAUUUAAUAUACUAUAUAUAUUAUGUGAUGACAUAUAAUGCUUUAUGUACUAUAUAAUAUCGUAUAUAGUCUGCAUAUGAAUUUAUUAUGUACACAUUUUUGCAUACAUAAUAUCACAAUAUAUGUAACUAUAUAUACACACAUAUCCUAUUCCUUAUAACCCAGGACUCCCACUCCCGCAUAUUUACCCAAGAGAAGUGAGUGCUUAAAUUCACAAAAAGACAAGUAGGGGAAUAUCCAUAGUAACCUAAUUUGUAAUAGCCCCAGUUUGGAAAUGAUCCAAAUGUCCAUUAGCAGAAUGGAUAACUGUGUGGUAUAUCAAGACAACAGAAUCCUACAGAACAACAAAACACCACAACUACGUUCAAAAAGAGAGAUCUCUUAGAUGUCACUUUGAGCAAAAGAUGCAGCAUACGUAUGGUACCAUUCCAUUGAUUUCAAGUUCAGAAACGAGCAGAACUGAUUUGUGGUGACAGACAUUAGGACAUUGGUCAUUUAGGGGGAGUAUUAACAGGGAAGGGGCUUGAAGCAGCUGCCAGAUGCAGGAAAGGUGCCCUAUUUUGAUCUGGAUGUUGCUAAAAAGGAUAUAAAAGUGCAUGGACCUGGGGGGACCUGGGUGGCUCAGUUGGUUAAGCAUCUGAUGCUCAUUUUUAAAAAUUUUUUAAAAAGAUUUUAUUUAUUUAUUCAUGAGAGUCAUACAGAGAGAGGCAGAGACACAGGCAG